CGGUAAUUCCAGCUCCAAUAGCGUAUACUAAAGUUGUUGCAGUUAAAAAGCUCGUAGUUGGAUUUCUGCGGGGACGGAGCGGCCGGACGCAACUUGCGUCUCGAGCUAGCGCUUUCCCCGCAUCCUGCCGCGAACCGUGCUACCAUUAGCUUGGUGGCGCUGGGGAUCGGCUCGAUUACUUUGAGAAAAAUAGAGUGUUCAAAGCAGGCCACACGCCUUGAAUAAGUUAGCAUGGAAUAAUGACUAAGGACUUUGGUUCUUUUCGUUGGUGUUCGGGACUGAAGUAAUGAUUGAUAGGGACAGUUGGGGCGGUCUGUAUUCCAAAGCGAGAGGUGAAAUUCUUAGACCUUCGGAAGACAAACAGCUGCGAAAGCGUUCCGCAAGGAUGUUCCCUUUGAUCAAGAACGAAAGUUGGGGGAUCGAAGACGAUCAGAUACCGUCGUAGUCUCAACUAUAAACUAUACCAGCUAGGGAUCGGCCAACGUUUAAUUAUUCGACUUGGUCGGCACCUUAUGAGAAAUCAAAGCAUCUGGGUUCCGGGGGGAGUAUGGUCGCAAGGCUGAAACUUAAAGGAAUUGACGGAAGGGCACCACCAGGCGUGGAGCCUGUGGCUUAAUUUGACUCAACACGGGAAAACUUACCAGGUCCAGACAUAGGAAGGAUUGACAGAUUGAUAGCUCUUUCUUGAUUCUGUGGGUGGUGGUGCAUGGCCGUUUUUAGUCGGUGAAGUGAUUUGUCUGCUUAAUUGCGUUAACGGACGAGACCCCAGCCUGCUAAAUAGCGCGGCCGAGCUUUGCUCGGUGCGAGCUUCUUAGAGGGACCAUGAUGCGCGAUAGCACAAGGAAGUUUGGGGCAACAACAGGUCUGUGAUGCCCUUAGAUGUUCUGGGCCGCACACGGGCUACACUGGCGCCUGCAACGAGCAUAUCAGCUGGCCCGAGAGGGUCUUGGCUAAUCUUUGGAACCGGCGCCGUGCUUGGGAUUGACCAUUGCAAUUGUUGGUCAUGCAACGAGGAAUGCCUUGUAAACGCGAGUCAUCAGCUCGCAUUGAAUACGUCCCUGCCCUUUGUACACACCGCCCGUCGCUCCUACCGAUGAAUGUUCCGAUGAAAUUUUCGGGGAGCGCCAGAGAACGGGGCUCUGCCUUGCAGAUCUGGAGGCUCAAAGUCACUUAAAUCUGAACAUUUCGAGGAAGGAGAAGUCGUAACAAGGUAGCCG
rnacentral:rRNA from 1 species